GGCAUAAUUUUUGUCUGAUCAACAUUUUUUGAGAAAAUUUUGUUAUGGUAAUGAUUUUAAAAGACAUAGAUCAGAGUUUUCAUGAACACAGCUAGCAAGCUUUCGUAUGAAUUUUGGAAAGAUAAACGGAGCUAUUCAAUGUAGAAACCUUACAACUUGAGAACUGAAUGACUGCAAAAAGCUUUUGACUCCAAAAUUACAUGGACGGAAAAGCAUUGCCAGGACCGAGAACACAACAAAACUCAGAGCCGCACAAGAGCAAAAUGUUUGUCGCACAUUUUGUCCGUUUUGCACUGAUUUUGCUCAUUUGCCGGAGUGAAUUUUGCCAUGGUGAGGAAGAACAACAAGCAAAGGACAAAUUACAAGAAGCAUUGAAGUCAGUUGAAGAGUAUAAAGUCAGAAACAAAAGAGCAGGUUUGUAAUGGAGUAUUCUGUUUUAUAUAGACUGAGUAAGGUAACCGUAGUAACAGGC
rnacentral:lncRNA from 1 species